rnacentral:tRNA from 1 species
UAAAGUAUAGUAUAAAUUAUUACAUAUCACUUACACUGAUAUAAUUUCUAUUUCAAGAAUACUUUAA